UCAGUGAACCAGUCGGCGGCAAUAACAUCUUCGCGAAUGAAGACGUUAAAUCGCAAGGCAGCAAAAAACGAAGAGAAAUAAAGGAAACAACGUAAAAUCAAAGCGUGCUCGACACGAUAUUCCGUGUUCCGAGGCUUUUCUUCCAUCCUUGUAACCGUGCGUCUCCGCAAGAGUCGGUGCAAGGCUUUCACCUAAGGCGGGGGACUCCCGUUCAUGGCUUCUUCCCCUACUGUCUCUCUCCCACCGAGGAGCACCCAGUUUCAGCAUAAUCUAGCCGAGUGACUUCUUUGGUGCCGCGAGAAGCUGCCGCGUGCCUGACGUACCUACGCCUGCGAGAACGUGAGGAGUCAUUGGAACGCUAAGACGUGGCUGUGUGAAGUUGUUCAGCAGUUCCCAAACCGGCGCGAAAUAAAGAUACAUACAGGGUGGUCCACAUUUACCAACGAUUCCACUAGCAGAACAAGCCACGAAGUGACGAAGGAUAAAAUAGUCUGAUGGGGAUAUGAAUCGGAUCUGCGAAUCCAAAUUAGUACUCGCGUAGCUUCCAUUAAUGGUGCAGAUCCAUGAGUUUGUUUCAACUAUGGCUAUGUAUAAAUAGUGAAUGUAUUCUAUUUUAACGAAUGAUCUUUGAUUGGAAAUUAUUUUUAAAAUGUAAUAAAAAAAAAGAAAUUUUAUUUUAAAUCUUGUCAUGUAUAAUUGUUCUUGCAUUUAAUGAACUUCAGUAUCUAAGCAUUCACAAAAUUGAGGAAAAA